ACCAGUCUGAAGAGUCCAGAAACAUGGAUCACGAAGUUAAUCAGGGGGCAUGCUCUGCAUAACAGAGUGAAUGAACCUUAAUCCUUCAGCCUUUUCAUUUGCUUUUCUAGGGAUAAAUUCAGACAGAGAUAGAUCCCUGACUUUCAUUCUCUUCAAAACAAGAAUUAAGAUACACAUGUUGGAAGAAUAUUACUGAAGUCACCCAAAGUGUAAGUAUUCAAAAAACAAUGAGCUUUUAAGACGGCAUUAGAAAGCACCAUUUUUACCCCAGACACGGAACAGGUGCAGUAAAAUAAACCUGUGCCAAAGCAUUCUGUUAACUUUUGCUAGUGGAGGCAGUGGGCUCAUUGUGACAGCUGAUAUUCUCUUCACUUCCUGAAGACUUGAAGCUGUAAGAAUAGGCUAGCACCUGGGAAAAUUGUGCUGGCUUAAUGGCCUAGAAUGCAGGCUGAUUUUCCUAUGAUUUGGAGAACUGCUUUUAACUCAAUUAUGUUAAGCACCAGGUCAAUUCCUUCCCCUUCUUAACACUUGAAGUGAAUAACCUCUCAAGACAAAUGCUUAAUUUUCUAAAUAUGAAGUCCUUUGGCAUAUAAGCUGCAUGGAUUUUUGCUUGUUUCAUGUCUAUGACAAAGUCUAAAUCUAUGUUUGAUCAAUGGAGGGGAGGAAGGCCUCUAAUUUGCUCCUGUUUUGUAUUUAAAAUGUUCCCUUACAUUCCUGUGUGAAAAAAAGUGGGGCUUUUAAUAUUAAAUCUUUCCUUUUUUGUUUCUUUGUUUC
rnacentral:lncRNA from 1 species